rnacentral:rRNA from 1 species
GGCUCAGAUUGAACGCUGGCGGCGUGCUUAACACAUGCAAGUCGCGCGUGAAAGGACUUCGGUCCGAGUAAAGCGGCGCACGGGUGAGCAACGCGUGGAUGAUCUACCCAUGAGUUAGGAAUAACGGCUGGAAACGGUCGCUAAUACCAAAUACGCUCCGAUUUCAACUUCGGGGGAAAGGUGGCCUCUGCUUGCAAGCUACUGCUCAUGGAUGAGUCCGCGUCCCAUUAGCUAGUUGGUGGGGUAACGGCCCACCAAGGCGACGAUGGGUAGCCGGUCUGAGAGGAUGACCGGCCACACUGGGACUGGAACACGGCCCAGACUCCUACGGGAGGCAGCAGUGGGGAAUAUUGCGCAAUGGGCGAAAGCCUGACGCAGCGACGCCGCGUGAGGGAUGAAGGUCCUCGGAUCGUAAACCUCUGUCAGGAGGGAAGAACCGCCACGGUGCUAAUCAGCCGUGGUCUGACGGUACCUCCAAAGGAAGCACCGGCUAACUCCGUGCCAGCAGCCGC